rnacentral:tmRNA from 1 species
GGGGAUGUCACGGUUUCGACGGGUGGUAUGAUUCGUCAGGCUGCGUUCCGAGCCAUUCUUGGUGAUGCUCGUUAAACCUCCCAAGAACAUUGCAACUGCGAACGAUUACUCGUACGCGAUGGCGGCUUAGUCCCGCUAUCUGUCUCUAGCUCGCCCGACCAUUGGUGGGUCAUGAGGCAUCAUGCUUAGUGGUCUAGCGCCUCAGACGCCGUCUGAGUACUGAGGCGCAAAACUUUAUCAGACUGUGCUUUCGGGUCGCCUUGUUGACUGGCAAUGGCCCGCGAGCGAGAACUCCAAUAGGUCAACUAUGAGCGUAGAUGUCUUUCAGGACAUUCAUUCGGACGCGGGUUCGACUCCCGCCAUCUCCA